rnacentral:rRNA from 1 species
AAUCAACGCUGGCGGCGUGCCUAACACAUGCAAGUCGAACGAGAAAGGGGAGCAAUCCCUGAGUAAAGUGGCGACCGGGUGAGUAACACGUGACUAACCUGCCUUCGAGUGGGGGAUAACCUCGGGAAACCGGGGCUAAUACCGCAUAAUGCCUUCGGGUUAAAGGAGCAAUUCGCUUGAAGAGGGGGUCGCGGCUGAUUAGCUAGUUGGCGGGGUAACGGCCCACCAAGGCGAAGAUCGGUAGCCGGCCUGAGAGGGCGCACGGCCACACUGGAACUGAAACACGGUCCAGACUCCUACGGGAGGCAGCAGUGGGGAAUUUUGCGCAAUGGGGGAAACCCUGACGCAGCAACGCCGCGUGGAGGAUGAAGUCCUUUGGGACGUAAACUCCUUUCGACCGGGACGAUUAUGACGGUACCGGUGGAAGAAGUCCCGGCUAACUUCGUGCCAGCCGCCGCCGUAAGAC